CAUUGAAUUGAGAAUUUGACCAAACUGGACUACAUUAAUUCUCAAUCCUUGGGACAACCACAAAAAGAAUUUUUCAUUAAUUAAAAUUAAUCACCAUAAGCUACAAAUGGUUGAAUCCAAACUGCAAGUAUCUGUAGCCGAACUUGGCAUGAAUACAGAAUCCAAGACGACAAGUUAAGCAUCAAUGGCUAUGAAAAAAAUAAAUAAAUAAAUAUGCAGUGAGAUAAACGACAAAAGUAGUACUUCAAAAGCUCUCACCCCUCAAGCCAACAUUGAAUCUUAAAAAGAAUAUUCAGAAACAGCAUAGCAAAAGAACCUCAAAAUCAAAGCAACUCCAGACUACUAUUACGAACCAAAAUUUCCACUACCCAUAAAUGAUUCAAGCAGCACGCAGUGACAACAAGGCAAGAGAAUGAAAGGCACACAACCGAUUCCUCAACCGAUCAAAAACAAGUAACAAAAAGCGUACAGAGCUCGAAAGGGUUUGCUUGUACGGCACACAUUCACCACAACCCUCCAUCCCAAUUCACUGAGUCAUCAAGACAUCAACAGCCCACCACAAGCAACAUUCUAUUUUUUUAAGCUAGACCCAAAAUAUAUUUACCUCAGCGAAACCCAAAAAGCAAUCAGGCUUGAUCUUCUACUUAAAUUAUCAGAAAAUCAAAAAAUAAAUAAAUAAAUA
rnacentral:misc_RNA from 1 species